rnacentral:rRNA from 1 species
AGAGUUUGAUCCUGGCUCAGAACGAACGCUGGCGGCGUGGAUUAGGCAUGCAAGUCGAACGAGAAAUCAUUUCUUCAAGUUUUCGGACAAGAAGAGGUGGUGGAAAGUGGCGGAAGGGUGAGUAACGCGUGGGCAAUCUGCCCUUAAGUUCGGGAUAGCUCGCCGAAAGGCGAAUUAAUACCGAAUGUGGUCGUGUCACGCAUGUGACACUGUCUAAAGAUGGGGAUUCUUCGGAACCUGUCGCUUGAGGAUGAGCCCGCGUACUAUCAGCUUGUUGGUAAGGUAACGGCUUACCAAGGCUAAGACGGUUAGGUGGUCUGAGAGGAUGGUCACCCACACUGGGACUGAGACACUGCCCAGACUCCUACGGGAGGCUGCAGUCGAGAAUCAUUCGCAAUGCGCGAAAGCGUGACGAUGCGACGCCGCGUGCAGGAUGACGGCCUUCGGGUUGUAAACUGCUGUCGGGGGGGAGUAAUAACCAGAGUGCUAAUACCACUUUGGAAUGAUAGUACCCCCAAAGGAAGCCACGGCUAACUCUGUGCCAGCAGCCGCGGUAAUACAGAGGUGGCGAGCGUUGUUCGGAUUUACUGGGCGUAAAGGGUGCGUAGGCGGUAUCGUAUGUCGGGUGUGAAAGCCCACCUUUCAUGGGUGGAACUGCAUUCGAAACUGCGGAACUAGAGUACGGAUAGGAGAGCGGAAUUCAUGGUGUAGCGGUGAAAUGCGUAGAGAUCAUGAAGAACACCGGUGGCGAAGGCGGCUCUCUGGAACGAUACUGACGCUGAGGCACGAAAGCUGGGGGAGCGAAGAGGAUUAGAUACCCUCGUAGUCCCAGCCGUAAACGGUGUACACUUGGUGUAGGUCGGUUCACCCCGAUCUGUGCCGGAGCUAACGUGUUAAGUGUACCGCCUGGGGAGUACGGUCGCAAGGCUAAAACUCAAAGGAAUUGACGGGGGCCCGCACAAGCGGUGGAGCAUGUGGCUUAAUUCGAUGCAACGCGAAGAACCUUACCUGGGCUUGACAUGUGACUGCAAGCUUGCCGAAAGGCAGGAAUCCUUCGAGGGUGUCACACAGGUGCUGCAUGGCUGUCGUCAGCUCGUGCCGUGAGGUGUUGGGUUAAGUCCCGCAACGAGCGCAACCCUUGUGAUUAGUUGCCACUUUUUCAGAAAUGGAAGAAGCACUCUAAUCAGACUGCCUGUGAUAAGCAGGAGGAAGGUGGGGAUGACGUCAAGUCAGUAUGGUCCUUAUGUCCAGGGCUGCACACGUGCUACAAUGGGCGGUACAAAGGGAAGCAAGACCGCGAGGUGGAGCAAAUCCUCAAAACCGUCCUCAGUUCGGAUUGGAGUCUGCAACUCGACUCCAUGAAGCCGGAAUCGCUAGUAAAGGCGUAUCAGCUACGACGCCUUGAAUACGUUCCCGGGCCUUGUACACACCGCCCGUCACAUCACGAAAGCCGAUUGCACCCGAAGUCGCUGAUCCAACCCGCAAGGGAGGAAGGUGCCGAAGGUGUGAUUGGUAAUUGGGAUGAAGUCGUAACAAGGUA